GUAUAUGUCAGUUCUACAUGAAACCGCGAAUGGCAUGAAAUGGCGUGAAACCGUGAAUGGCUCAUUAAAUCAGCUACAUGUAUGGUUCCUUAGAUUGUCUCAUCCUACUCGGAUAACUGUGGAACAUCUAGAGCUAUUACGUGCUUACAAGCCCUGACCUCACGGGAGGGGCGCAUUUAUUAGAUCAAAACCAAUCGGGGCUUGCCGCGUCUGCGUGGUGACUCUGGAUAACUUUUGUGCUGAUCGUAUGGCCUCUGCGCGGGCGAAGUAUCUUUCAAGUGUCUGCCCUAUCAACUUACGAUGGUUUUAGGUGAUUUGCCUACCAUGGUUAUAACGGGUAACGGAGAAUCAGGGUUCCAUUCCGGAGAGGGAGCCUGAAAAACGGCGUGCACUUUAGCAGC
rfam:Macrostomum lignano uti_cns_0000105, whole genome shotgun sequence.